GAGAAGUUUACUCUAGACUGUCUGGCUGGGCCUAAUGUAAUCACAGGGAUCCUUUUUAGAGGGAGGCAGGAGGGACUGAGUAAGAAAAGAUAAUGUAGGCUGGGUGUGGUGGGUCACACCUGUAAUCCCAGAAUAUAUUGGGAGGUUGAGGAAGGAGGAUUGCUUGAGCACAGGAGUUUGAGACUAGCCUGGGCAACAUAGCAAGACUCCCUCUCUAUAAAAAGUUAAAAGAAUGAGUUGAAUGUGGUGGCACAUGCCUGUAAUCCCAGCUACUUGAGAAGCUAAGGCGGGAGAAUCAGUUGAGCUCAGGAGGUCAAGGCUGCAGUGAGCCAAGACCAUACCACUGCACUCCAGCCUGGGCAACAAGAGUGAAGCUUCAUUUCAAACAAACAAACAAACAAUCAAACAAGUAAACAAACAGACCCCAAACUAUUAUUUUACUUCUGGGGCCCAGAAUUCCAAAAUCAGCUUCACUGGGAUAAAGUCAAGGUGUCAGCAGGGCUGGUACCUCCUGGAGCCUUGAUAAGAGGAUCCAUUUCCUCGCCUUUUCAGCUUCUGGUCGCCCCUUUAUUCCUUUGUGCGAAGCCCCUUCAUCCAUCUUCAAAGCACAUCACUCCAGUCUCUGCUUCCAUCCUCACAUUGUCUCUCUCUGGCUCUUCCUGCACUCCUCUUUUUUUAAAAUUAAUAUUGCCACAUUAUUUUAAAUUAUGUACAAAGACCUAACAUGUCACUCAGGGACCAUUUCACCCACUGCUCUAUUUAGCCGCCAGUCUCUUCAGCAAUGGUGAGGGUUUGGUGUACACAUUAUUUCAUCACCCAGGUAAUAAGCAUAGCACCCGACAGGUAGUUUUUCGGUCCUCACCCUCCUCCCAUCUUACCCUCAAGUAGGCCCUGCUGUUUGUUGUUCCCUUUUUUGUGUCAAUGUGUAGUCAAUGUUCAGCUCCCACCUAUAAGUGAGAACCUGUGGUGUCUGGUUUUCUGUCCCUGCAUUAGUUCACUUAGGAUAGUGGCUUCCAGCUCCAUCUAUGUUGCUGCAAAAGACAUUAUCUUGUUCCUUUUUAUGGCUGUGUAGUAUUCCAUGGUGUAUAUAUACCACAUUUUCUGUCUUUCUCCUUCCUUCCUUCCUUCCUUCAUUCCUUCUCUCUCUCUCUCUUUCUUUCUUUCAGACAGAGUCUUGCUCUGUUGCCCAGGCUGGAAUGCAGUGGUGUGAUCUCAUCUCACUGCAACUUCUGCCUCCUGGGUUCAAGUGACUUCUCCUGCCUGAGCCUCCCAAGUAGCUGGGAAUACAGGUGCCCGCUACUAUGCCUGGCUAAUUUUUUUGUAUUUUUAGUAGAGACGGGGUUUCACCAUGUUGGACAGGCUUGGUCUCGAACUACCGACCUCACGUAAUCCACCCACCUUGGCCUCCCAAAGUGCUGGGAUUACAGGCGUGAGUCACCACGCCCAGCCCACAUUUUCUUUAUCCAGUCUACCACUGAUGGGCAUUUAGGUUGAUUCCACAUCUUUGCUAUUGUGAACAGUGCUGCUGUGAACAAAGGUGUGCACGUGUCUUCAUGGUAGAACGAUUGAUAUUCCUUUGUGUAUAUACUCAAUAAUGAGAUUGCUGGGUCGGAUGGUAGUUCUAUUUUAAGUUUUUUUAGAAAUCACCAAACUACUUUUCACAGUGGCUCUUGGCUUAAAUUUGGAAGCAGAGGUACACUCCCUUUACACCUGAUUUUUAAAUUUCUUUUCUCCUUGAUCAGAUAAUAUGUUGACACUAUCCAAAAUUCAAAAGAUACAAAAUGAUGGAAAGUGAAAUUUCUUCAACCCAGUUUCCCUUGCCAAGUUGAUACUAAUGUUACCAGUUUCCAGGUUAUUCCAUACACAAAUAUACAAAUAGUAACUUACUAUAUCCACUGUAUCUGUCAGGUUGGGUUGGAAUUUUUUUUCUUUUUCUUUUAAGACCGUCUCACUCUGUCUUUCAGGCUGCAGUGCAGUAGGGCAAUCUUGGCUCACUGCGACCUCUGCCUCCCGGGCUCAAGUGAUUCUUGGGCCUCAGCCUCCUGAGUAGCUGAGAUUACAGGUGUGUGCCACCACACCUGGCUAUUUUUUGUAUUUUUAGUAGAGACAGGGUCUUGCCAUGUUGGCCAAGCUGGUCUUGAAUUCCUGGUCUCAUGAUCUGCCCACCUCAGCCUCCCAAAGUGUUGGGAUUAGAGGUGUGAGCUCCUGGCCAUUGUGCUGGGUAUUCUAUUUGCCCUACCAUCUCCACUCUCCACCAUGACCUGUCUUUUAGAAGGGUGGCCUCUAUAAACUGUACCACCCAUGCUCCCUUCACCUCUACAUUAAAAAAAUUUUUGGGUUUGGCCAAUGGAAGUUUGAGAGAAGAGCAAUGUCAGAUUAUUUUGCUUGGCUGUGUGAUAGCAAUGGUUGUAUUCCUCUGCCAGAAACCAUGCCCUCCUGCUGGGGGCUCUCUUUUACCCCUAUACAAUCAGUCUCGGUUUCGGAAACUACUCCCUCUCACUGCACCUUUCAACCUAAGGAUGAUGAUGGCGUCUCCUUUGUAAGCCAUAGAGUGCUUCAACA
rnacentral:lncRNA from 1 species